AGUGAACGCUGGCGGUAGGCCUAACACAUGCAAGUCGAACGGCAGCACAGUAAGAGCUUGCUCUUACGGGUGGCGAGUGGCGGACGGGUGAGGAAUACAUCGGAAUCUACUUUUUCGUGGGGGAUAACGUAGGGAAACUUACGCUAAUACCGCAUACGACCUACGGGUGAAAGCAGGGGAUCUUCGGACCUUGCGCGAUUGAAUGAGCCGAUGUCGGAUUAGCUAGUUGGCGGGGUAAAGGCCCACCAAGGCGACGAUCCGUAGCUGGUCUGAGAGGAUGAUCAGCCACAUGGGAGCUGAGACACGGUCCAGACUCCUACGGGAGGCAGCAGUGGGGAAUAUUGGGCAAUGGGGGCAAGCCUGAUCCAGCCAUACCGCGUGGGUGAAGAAGGCCUUCGGGUUGUAAAGCCCUUUUGUUGGGAAAGAAAAGCAGCAGGUUAAUACCCCGCUGUUCUGACGGUACCCAAAGAAUAAGCACCGGCUAACUUCGUG
rnacentral:rRNA from 1 species